rnacentral:lncRNA from 1 species
CACAAGACUCGAAAUAUAAUUCCGACCAACCCCAGAAAAUAUCACCGGAAAAUAACCCCCCACGCUCCCGCCGGGCUUCUGCCGGCGGCGGCGAGUUUAGCCCACGCGCCGGCGUGUGAGAGACUUUCCGGCCAGAAUUUCAAAAAGUUCCUUCAGGACAGUCUGAUCGCCCUCAAAUUCCGAGCCUACCCAUAUUUUUAUUUUACAAUUACACACCACCACAAGGUUCCCAAGAGAGAUCCGACCGAACCCCAGCAAAACCCACCGGAAAACUGCCCUUCACGCGCCCUCCCCCGCCAGAUUUGUCAAGGUAGAUCCGACUCACGCGCCCCACGCGCCGGCGCGUGAGAGACUUUCCGGCCAGAAUUUCAAAAAGUUCCUUCAGGACAGUCUGAUCGCCCUCAAAUUCCGAGCCUACCCAUAUUUUUACUUUUCAAUUCCGACCACUUUGUAGUUUUCCGGAAUCUACAAUGAUUUUUUCCUAUGCACCAGCUUGAGGGGGAGUGUAGAAUAUAUAAUAGUAGAACCCUAAUCCAAUGUGUAUUAGGAGUAGCCUAAUCCAAUGUUUANNN